rnacentral:rRNA from 1 species
UACAGAGGUCUCAAGCGUUGUUCGGAUUCAUUGGGCGUAAAGGGUGCGUAGGCGGCGCGGUAAGUCGGGUGUGAAAUCUCGGAGCUUAACUCCGAAACUGCAUUCGAUACUGCCGUGCUUGAGGACUGGAGAGGAGACUGGAAUUUACGGUGUAGCGGUGAAAUGCGCAGAUAUCGGGAGGAACACCAAUGGCGAAGGCAGCUUGCUGGGACGGUACUGACGCUGAGACGCGAAAGCGUGGGGAGCAAACAGG